GUCUGUCUGCCUUACACCAAGCCUGCCUGUCUGUCUGUCUGCCUUACACCAAGCCUGUCUGUCUGUCUCAGUGGCUCUGAUAGCCACAGCAAUAAUUCAAGUGAAAUAAAUGUACUUCAACAAGUGUGUGUGUGAGAUUUUAAGAAGACAGACAGCCCAAUACACGGGGAUAUUUAAUAAGCACAGAUGGCCCUGACAGAACGCGUGUGUGUGUGCGUGUGGUGCUCUGAGGGUGUUUGUGUGCUUUUCAUCCAGGAACAGGAAGCUAUAACAGGAAGCAAGAUGGAGGCAGGAAGUAGCAAUCACUCUCUCUCUCUUUCUUUAUGAAGUGUACGCACACACACACACACACACACACCUUUCUCAGGAAAUGACAAUGUUGAGUGAUAGUGAAGAAAAAUAUAAACACAGGAAAUCAGGCCUGAUCACAUGUGGGGGAAAACAUCAAAGCUCUCUCUCUCUCUCUCACUCACACACACGCGCACACACACGCACACACACGCACGCACACACACAGCUGCAGUUAAUAACCACUAUAUCAUCAGAUGGUGCUGACACACACACACACACAGAUGAAAAAAGCAGAGGGAGACUGAUGGAGAAGCGGAAGAGACAGAGACACAAAGAAUGAGCGACAGAGAGAUGAAGCAUUUAGUGAUGACCAGUAUUGUGUGUGUGUGUGUGUGUGUUGCACCAGUAAAGCACUCAGGAGGAGUGUAAAGUGUAACCUUGCUCAUGAUCAGUAAAACGGUAAACGCUGAUUAACGUCCACGUCUGCUGAGGAGCUCGAUUUACACACAAACACACACGCUGCUGCAGGCUAGCAGCGCUAACAAUGCUAACAGAGCUAAAGUCACAUUACACACGCCGAGUUAACCAGAGUUCACCGACACACACGCGGACCUGACGGUGUGGGCGAACCAGGUUUAUACAGGGGACUGAACGAACACACACACACACACACACACACACACACACACACACACACACACAGGUCCAAACCCAGGAAAUAACAGUAUGGGAGGGUUAAAAUGGAAAAUACAAACAUGACCGCACCAAACCUGACAAUGUUUAAAUAUUUCCACGUUACACUGGAAUAUUCUCCAACACACACUAUAAGAGCCGCCUUAUUUUAUUUUAAAUAAAUAAAUAAAUAAUCAGCAGCUGCACAGGUGUUCUGAACUCUCCGAUAUGAAUGGACACACUCUGGAAGCUCCGCCCCUUUCCCCCAUCUCGCAGUGGUAUUAUUUUUUUGUCCCGUGCCUGCGACGUGACGCACUCGGAGGAAAGCGCUAUCCGCCCUGUUCCGCAUACACGACUCCAACAGACGCACGUGAUUGGCUAGUGUCUCUGUGAUCGACAGGAGAGAGAGAGAGAAUAAAUCUGAAAUCAAUCCAAACUCGUAUCCUGAUACCGCCGUCUGCCUGCAGACUCCCGCCCACGUUAUAAUAAAACGGAAACGUUACCGUGACGAUGCAGAUUAUACACUGCACGGCAAACUCGGUCACAAAAGCAGCAUGAAACCUAACCUCAUUAUCCUUACACUCAUUAUGCGUUCAUUAAGGUUACAUAUCGUACAGGAGCGUGGUCUACGCGCGAGGAGGACCAACAAACAGCAACUAUCUUCACCGAAGAGCACGGGAGAGAGAGGAAACGGAAAAAAGACAAGACACAAAGAGCAGCAGGCUUAUUCAUUCCGUGUGUCCACCACACACACACACACACUUUCCCUCGCUCCCACACACUCUCACAGAGGACUCCUUUCAUUCCGGCCCAGGCGCUGCCAGGUACAGAUGAUAGAGAGAGAGCGAGCGAGAGAGCGCGAGAUUACAAACAAAUCUGCACACAGUUUAUACAGAAUAUUUCCACUGAAAAAUGUUGUGUAAGGAUGGCGACACCGUAACGGAUCUCGGCUACAACCGUUACUCAACAGCGACGCUGCGUGCGUUAUUUGUUCAUCGACGGUGUUGCCACAAACAUAAUAAACGUGCAUCGCGUGUGCGGGAGAAAACGCUUCUCACUAACUAGUCGACGGAAAUCGAGAAAAACUAUUCGCGACCGAACAGUACCGAAAAACAAACAACAACAACACACACGGUGUAUCCGUGUAAUCUGCGGCGAACUGCUGCACCUGUAAUCUAACGAUUUAACAACGUGAACUAAAAUACCAAAACCUAAGAUACCUUUUGAAAUAAGGAAAUCAGGGUUUAGACCUCAUCAUAGCACAGAGACAGCGCUGGUUAAAGUAGUAAAUGACCUACUACUGACUUACGAUCAGGGUUGUGUCUCGCUGCUUGUGUUACUCGACCUUACUGCAGCUUUUGAUACUAUAGAUCACACUAUUCUCCUUGAUAGAUUAGAAAAUGUUGUUGGUAUUAAGGGAACAGUCCUCUCCUGGCUCAGGUCUUAUCUGACCGAUCGUUAUCAGUUCGUAGAUGUAAAUGGAGAAUUCUCCACGCGUACUGAGGUUACUUUUGGAGUUCCACAGGGUUCUGUUUUAGGCCCAUUGCUCUUUACUUUAUAUAUGCUACCCCUAGGUCAAAUUAUUCGUAAACAUGGAAUUAGCUUCCACUGUUCUGCUGAUGAUACACAGCUGUAUGUUUCAGCGAAGCCAGAGGACAGACAGAAGCUUAGUAAAGUUGAGGAUUGUGUAAAGGACAUUAGACGCUGGAUGAUUAUUAACUUCCUUCUACUUAAUUCUGAUAAGACAGAAAUACUUUUAUUAGGCCCACGUGUCAAUGUCUAUUGUAAAAAGCGCUAGACAAAUAAAAUCGAAUUGAAAAUAACCGUGUCAGCUUUAUUGCGGAAACCGUGUAACCUGUACCACUAAAAGGAUGAUGGAACCUGUAACCCUGAAACAUCACAACGGUGUAUCCUGUAACCCUGAAACAUCACAACGUGUAACCUGUAACCCUGAAACAUCACAACGGUGUAACCUGUAACCCUGAAACAUCACAACCGGUGUAACCUGUAACGCUGAAACAUCACACAACGGUGUGACCUGUAACCCUGAACAUCAUCACAACGGUGUAACCUGUAACCCUGAAAC
ensembl:lncRNA